AGUCCUUCGCCGUCCCUCGCCGUCCUUCGCCAUCGCACGCCACCGCACCCCAUCUCUCGAAAUCUGCAGACAUCUUGAUUUUUCCCACGCUGUCUGUCAGGUCUCCGCCGCCACUCGACGCCAGGGCGCCGGGUGAGUCCACAGCAGGGCGCAUGGUCGGCUCCACUCUCACCAUCGGGGGAAACUGAGGCCCCGGGGAAGGCGGCCAGAGAGGUCAGGCCCUGUCCUUGGUGCAGUGUCUCGUCCUCUUUGCCGGAGUGAGCCCCCCAGGAUUCGCGUGUCCUCGGGAAAGACACUGGCAGGCCUUGUGGGCUGUGCUGCACCUCGGACGGCUUCGCACCAGCCAGCGCCCUCUCUCUCCUGCAGCACUCUGAUCUGCACCCCCUGAGGGGCUUCCACUGUCCGCGGGGUGAGAAUGCCCCUGGGAGUGUCACAUGACUGCCGCCCCAUGUGUGUGAGAGGCGUCCUCUGGGAGAGCAUGGAUCCUGAGGUCCCAGGAACAUCCCGAGAGCCAAGUUCCCAGAUGCCAGCCAAGGGCCAUCUGACCUGUUUUGAAUCUCAAUUUCCUGAUACAGAAAACAAAGGAUUGUCAGCUGACCUCUGUCCUGUGUGCCCAGUGGCCCCAGGUGACGUGUCUUCAAGAAGAGGCUGAGCUGCGGUGCUUGUAAGGGUCUCAUUCUGUCACCCAGGCUGGAGUGCAGUGGUGCAAUGAUGGCUCACUGCAGCCUCGACCUGGGCUCAAGUGAUCCUCCACCUCAGCUUCCUGAGUAGCUGGGACCACAGAUGGGUCUGCUGUGUGCAGAGGCUCCAUGGGAUGUGUUGUCUUCAUAGUAGCAGGGCGCUGGACCAUGGGUCCGCAAGGUCUCAGCCUUAGAUCCAAGGACAGUCCAAGGAAGUCCUAAGACCAUGGAGUUGGUGAUCUGGGAUCUGGGUUUGCUGAUAUUUCUCACCGUGAAUCUCUUGGUGGUGUUUGUGGGCACGAGAGGGGCAGAGAAUGGAGAGUGAGGCUACCACAUGAAGCGUCACCAGAGCUGCUCCCUGCUGCCUGCUCAGAGCACCCCGGAUCCACUGUUCAAUCUGCACAAGAUUCGGGGUCCAGACAUGGGAGACUUCAGCUGCCUCAGAGGACCGUGGACAGGGAAGGCCAGCCUCGCAUCCCUCUGUCCAUGCCUGGAAUGACUUUAAUAACCAAGAGUUUUAUUUUUGAAUUUGUAGCUGUCGUUCACUUUUUACCCACCCAUUCAAUAAACCUUACAGAAUUGCUCCA
rnacentral:lncRNA from 1 species